AAUUAUAAAAUUUUGGGUAAGGUAAAUGAAGAGUUUAAUAAAUAGAACUAUUCUCAUUUUUAAUUUUAAUUCUUUUUCUGAAAAUUCAUCAUUAACUUCUACAAAAUGUACUUCAAGCCAUUAAAACGAAUUUAGAAGAUACUAAAAAUUAAAAGCUAACUUUGUAUCAAAUAUCGUAAAUACAAAAUUGGGCUAUUGUGAUGACGAUAAGUCCAAGAAAAAGAGGACAGCCAUAAUCAGAACAGGAACAAGGAGAAGCAUUAAAGGCGGUGGUGGCAGCGGCGGCGGCAGCAGUGGCAAAAAUAAAAGUGAUACUGUCAAUACAAUAAUAGCCAAAUUGAUUUUCUAUCUGCAAACGCGCCGAUCAUCAAAUUUGCACGGCAGCAUUAAAACACCUUUACGAUUUUUUUCCCCUUUUUUAGGGCUAUAGCUCUAGUGGGGAUGACGGUUCAAUGUUUAUAUAGAACAUAUAAGCGAUAAUUAAAUGUAUGUAAUAAACUAAUAGUCGUUUUAGGAAAUGUAUGUAAUAAACUAAUAGUCGUUUUAAGCGUUUCUGGUCGGGUCACCAUCAACGAUUGAGAUCACAGGUCUGUUACUAACAGAGUCUGUAACGUAGACAGGUCCACCUUUUAUAUUAUAUAUUAAUUAUCUGGCCAUUGAUUAAAGUUUCCAGGACUAGUUUGGCAGGAGAAAGCUAAAAGGGUUUCGUAGAAUAAUAGAGUUAGUAUUUAGUGUAAAGCUGAUUUUGUGCUUAGUAGCCAUUAAAUCGAUGCAGACAAAAAACCAUCUCAAUAUACACUCAUUUUUUUGUACGGAAUAUUAUCUGAGACUAAACAAAGAUAAAGUAAA
rnacentral:lncRNA from 1 species